AUUGAACGCUGGCGGCAGGCUUAACACAUGCAAGUCGAACGAGUAGCGGACGGGUGAGUAAUGCUUGAGAAUCUAGCUUAUGGAGGGGGAUAACUACGGGAAACUGUAGCUAAUACCGCGUACCAUAGGAUGAGCCCAAGUGGGAUUAGGUAGUUGGUGAGGUAAAGGCUCACCAAGCCGACGAUCUCUAGCGGGUCUGAGAGGAUGACCAGCCACACUGGGACUGAGACACGGCCCAGACUCCUACGGGAGGCAGCAGUGGGGAAUAUUGCGCAAUGGGGGCAACCUGACGCAGCCAUGCCGCGUGAAUGAAGAAGGCCUUCGGGUUGUAAAGUUCUGUCGGUAGCGAGGCGUUAACUACAGAAGAAGCACCGGCUAACUCCGUGCCAGCAGCCGCGGUAAUUC
rnacentral:rRNA from 1 species